CAAGCGGUACAUCAGUCAUUAACCAGCAUGCCUAAACGAACCUCCCCUCUCUCGGUGCUGCUCAUUUGCCCUCAUCCUCUCGGUUUAUUUGCUCUGGAAAUAUUGCACAGAAUCUGUCAGUCUUGCCGUCCAUAAUUACAGGUGUCCCUGAUGUCUGUGAUCUGUGCUAAAACCAAAAACCUGCCCGUAUAUACUGAUGUAGAUGUGUGAAUGAAAACACGUGAGCUGUGGUGUUUACUGAAUAAGUCUGAAUUGCUCAAUAUUGAAGCGUACUGCUGCACUGACUCACUUCUGCAGCUCUUAAGAUUAGUUUUGUACCAAGAUCAAUAGUUCAGCGCUUUAGGUUUUAUCAGAACGACCCUCAUCAGGUGUCAGAGGAGAUGUGUUCCCUUCUGCGUCCGCCGGCGUUCGGUCGUUUUGUAUCUGUGCGACUCAAGAGCGUGGCUGCCUCUCAGUCCCUGCCGGCCAAAGGUGACCAUGACCCCUCGACAGCUGACUUUCUGACCUUUGAGGAUCCUCAAGCAUUCAAGGUGAAGAGUUUCUGGGAGCUGAUCCGAGCUCUCGGAGUCUUCAGGCUCUGCUCGUUUCCUGUGCUGGUUAAUAACUGUGGAAAGCUGAUGACCGUUACGAGGAAGGUUCUGGGUCAGCGAUGUUUCUGCAUGGUCGUGCGUCCGUCUGUGUACGCUCAGUUUGUGGCCGGAGAAACAGAAGCUGAGAUCACAGACUCCAUGAAGAAGAUGAGCUCUCUGGGGCUCCACCCCAUGCUGGCCGUCCCCAUCGAAGAGGACCUGGGAGAGAGCACCGGGGAACGUCGAUAUGAAGACAACCUGGCAUCCAUGCUGGAGUGUGUGCACAUGUCUCACAGCAAAGGCUGGAGUAAAAAUCCCAUGAUGCAGCUGAAGAUCACCGCUCUCGUCAGCCCUGAGCUGUGUGCGAAGCUGACCUCUCUGCUGAAGACGGAGCAGUAUGAUCUGAACAUGCUUGUGAGAGCCAUGGAGGGAGAGGAAGUCAUGUUUUCUGGUCUGAGCGAGAGCGAAAACACACACUUACUGCUGGGCCUCCAGAGACUCCACAGAAUAGGAGAGGCGAGUGUUGAUAAAGUGAGGGUUCUGGUGGAUGCGGAGUACACUUACAUGAACCCUGCCCUGUCUCUCAUCACCGCCGCCAUGAUGAAGAAGUUCAACCGUCACAGCGCCUGGAUCUGGAACACAUAUCAGUGCUACCUGAAGGAAUCCAGGAAUCUGUUGCUUGAUGCUGUUCAGACGUCCGUGGAUCAGAGUUUCUGUCUCGGGGUUAAACUCGUCAGAGGAGCUUACAUGGACAAAGAGAGAAAACUAGCUGAAAAAGAAGGGCGAACGGAUCCAAUCCAUGAAUCAUGGGAGAGAACUAAUGACAGUUAUAACGGAUGUCUAGAACUCAUGCUGAGGCUCAUUUCAGAGAAACCCGAGCGUUUCAUGAUGAUUGUGGCCACUCACAAUGAAGAGUCGGUCCGGCGGGCCGCGACACGCAUGCAGGAGCUGGGGCUUCACAGAGACGCAGGGGCUGUGUGUUUCGGUCAGCUGCUGGGCAUGUGUGACCACGUCUCUCUCACUCUCGCGCAGCAGGGUUUCUCGGUGUAUAAGUCGGUGCCGUACGGCUCGGUGGAGGACACGCUGCCGUAUCUGGUGCGCAGGGCUCAGGAGAACCGUACCGUGCUUCAGGGCAUACGCAAGGAGCGAGAUCUGCUCCGACUGGAGCUCCGCCGAAGACUCCGAGAGAAGAUCACAGGCCCCAGAUAGAGACAUCAGCCUUUGAAAGUGGAUGUGGAUGCAUCAUUACUCCAGUCUUCAGAAAUCAUUAUAGAGCACUCUUAACGUUCACCUGUUUGCCUGACCUUAUUUUAAACCCUCUCUUUGUCCAACACCAAAUGGAAAAGGAGGAAAGAGAAACGAGUGGAAGUGGCAAAAUGAGGGAGGGCUUUAAGGUCAUUAUCACCUGGACUUUAAUGGCCUUCCUUCGGUUUCUAACACUCUCACACACACACACACACACACACACACACUCACACACACACUCAUGCAGCGCUGGAAUAGACCCUGUAAGUAUAGUGACACAGUGAUGAUGAUGAUGGUUUAAAAUACUGUGUGAAUGUGACUGAUUUAAUUUCUCUUUCUGACAUACUAUAUAUGCGUAUAUAUAAUACUUUCCAUAUGGAGUGGAUUCAGGUAAACACUUAACUUUUUGUCAUUGAUAUGACUGGUAAGAUUUGCUCAGUUAUCAUUAACUAAUAAUAAUAAUAAUAAUAAUAUUAAUAAUAAUAAUGAAGAUGAUUCAUUACAUUUAUAUAAGCACUUUUCUGCUUUUUCUAAGCGCUCUUCAUCUCCUCGUUCAUCAUCACUGUGCAGCAUCCACCUGGAUAAAAUUUCUCUAAUUUCUCAAUCUUUAUUACCCAAGUCAAUAUAGUAGUAGUGUGGUAUAGUAACUUGAUUAAUUAUAGGAUUCCCGUGAGAAUUAAAUAUCUGGAAAAUUCUGUAGUUAAGAAUUAUAUUGUGAUUU